rnacentral:miRNA from 14 species
AUCUCUGGUUUCUUUGGAUAUUCUGUGUGUGUGUGUGUGUGUGUGUGCACAUAUAUGUGUAUAUAUACAUAUACAUACACACACAUAUAUACACACAUACAUAAAC